rnacentral:rRNA from 1 species
GUUUAUGGCCAUACCAUCCUAACUGUGCCCAAUCUCAUCUGGUCUCAGAAGCUAAGCAGGGUCAAGCCUGAUUAGUACUUGAAUGGGAGACAAAUAUUCAGAAGAGGCUGCUCAGAGACA